GUGUACGUAUGCUUGUAUGAUUAGGAAAGUGGUACGAAUGUGUAGAGGAUCCAUGAGUUAUUCAAAGUCUUUCUUUAAUAGAUUAUCAAUUUAAGUUCAUCUUCCUUGUGUUGGUUAAUUUGUAAGAACAAAUAUUUGAUAUUCAAGAUAUCAGUCCCUGCGCUGAAGAGAUUGACAGACAAUGCUGGCAGGGCCCAUAGCGAGCCAAUGGAAUCUCUCGCAUUGCCGACGGAAACGGAUGAAUUGGCCAAUCAAAUCGCACGCGCCCUUUGUCGUAUCUUUCAGUUAGGUGUGUUCGCUUGCAGUGUGUGUUUUCUUAUAUCGCGUGUUUACCUGCGUAUUUUAAUCACUUUUGGAGUAUUAUAAUCAUGUGCUUUGAUUAACCAUUAUUUUAGGAGGUUUUAGAACGUUAUGCCGCGCCAGAUUUUCGACUACUGAAGCCUCAAAAAUCUCGUAAGGCCAUGGCAGUUUUCCAGCACAGGUGUGUGGCCCUCUGCAGCUGACGACAGACCUACUUCUCACCAGAAGGCAAGUAAAUGUCCAGUGCCGGCCUGUGGACACUCAUCACUUUUUUCAGAUUCUCCCACUCAAGUUAUUGAGGAGAAGUUGGCAUACUGGCGCAAGCUGGUGCUGUUCCCAUUGGGCCCAGCACUUCUAUCAAGCAUGGUCCCCACACCAAACCCACAUUCGGACCCUGGACCCUCAGCGACCAGCACUUCCCAGCCCAGCAGCACUCCACCCUACAUGAUGGUCCAUCAGCUGAGCGUGUUCCUCCAACAGCAUUUCAACCACCUGUGCCAUGUCAACCAAGUGCAUACAUUAGGUGAGUGGAAGGCCGACACUUGCAGAAAGUGUGGUCAUUCUAGGACAUCAUCAACUGGACAUAGCCAGGACAAGGCCAGAAUUUAUUGUCCAGUGACAGAGACGAUGAAAAAAGAGCAGUUGCUCAAAAAAAUAAAGAAAAUAUAAAUAUGUUGCCUAUAGCGCUUGUAUUCUUAAAAAGUUAUAUGUAUAUUUUAUAUUUAAAUAUUUGAUGUUUAAAUAGUAUUUUUCUGUUUUGUUUAUAGUUUAAUAUAUUGCUAUUUUAUAAUUUGUUACAUGUAUUUAUUGUUAGGGUACAUGUAAUGUAUUAUUUGAAUUGUAUUUGCACAUUAUUCAACUGCUGCUGUACGUGCUGUAUUGUCUCUUUGCACUGUCUUUUGUCUUGCACUGUUUGCACCAAGUUGCACACGAUGUACUUCAUGUACAUCAUCAUGUAGCUAGGACUACUUACUUUCUGUCCUUAGCUCUGUGUUGUUUUGUAAUUAUAUGUUGUUAUGUUGUUUAUGUAGCACCAGGGUCCUGGAGAAACGUUGUCUUAUUUCCCUGUGUACUGCGUCAGCUAUAUGUGGUCAAAAGGACAAUAAAAGC